rnacentral:tRNA from 1 species
UAAUAGUUUUAAAAAAAUGAAUUGCCUGAUAAAAAGGAUUACCUUGAUAGGGUAAAUCAUGAAAU